rnacentral:rRNA from 1 species
UUAAAUUGAAGAGUUUGAUCAUGGCUCAGAUUGAACGCUGGCGGCAGGCCUAACACAUGCAAGUCGAACGGUAACAGGAAGCAGCUUGCUGCUUCGCUGACGAGUGGCGGACGGGUGAGUAAUGUCUGGGAAACUGCCUGAUGGAGGGGGAUAACUACUGGAAACGGUAGCUAAUACCGCAUAACGUCGCAAGACCAAAGAGGGGGACCUUCGGGCCUCUUGCCAUCGGAUGUGCCCAGAUGGGAUUAGCUAGUAGGUGGGGUAACGGCUCACCUAGGCGACGAUCCCUAGCUGGUCUGAGAGGAUGACCAGCCACACUGGAACUGAGACACGGUCCAGACUCCUACGGGAGGCAGCAGUGGGGAAUAUUGCACAAUGGGCG